rnacentral:rRNA from 1 species
CAGCCGUAAACUAUGCGCGUUAGGUGUAUCGGUGACCACGAGUUACCGAGGUGCCGAAGGGAAACCGUGAAACGUGCCGCCUGGGAAGUACGGUCGCAAGGCUGAAACUUAAAGGAAUUGGCGGGGGAGCACCACAACAGGUGGGGCCUGCGGUUUAAUUGGACUCAACGCCGGGAAGCUCACCGGAUAGGACAGCAGAAUGAUUGCCGGGCUGAAGACCCUGCAUGACUAGCUGAGAGGAGGUGCAUGGCGUCAGUGACU